rnacentral:rRNA from 1 species
GUGUCAGCAGCCGCGGUAAUACAGAGGGUGCGAGCGUUAAUCGGAGUUACUGGGCGUAAAGGGUGCGUAGGCGGUACUAUGUGUGUGAUGUGAAAGCCCCGGGCUUAACCUGGGAAGUGCAUCGCAAACUGUAGAACUAGAGUAGAUGAGAGGGUGAUGGAAUUUCCGGUGUAGCGGUGAAAUGCGUAGAGAUCGGAAGGAACGUCAAUGGCGAAGGCAGUCACCUGGCAUCAUACUGACGCUGAGGCACGAAAGCGUGGGGAGCGAACAGGAUUAGAUACCCCGGUAGUCC